AUGCAUCCCUUGUACACCGGGGCCGCCACCAUGAUAGGUGAGAUCACCGUCGCUGUGUCCUUCAUCUCCAAGUUCCUCCACACCAAAGGGCUCACGAGCGAGCGACAGCUGCAGACCUUCAGCCAGAGCCUGUAGGAGCUGCUGGCAGAACAUUAUAAACAUCACUGGUUCCCAGGAAAGCCAUGCAAGAGAUCAGGUUACCGUAGUAUUCGCAUCAACCAUAAAAUGGAUCCUCCGAUUGGACAGGCAGCACAGCGGAUUGGACCGAGCAGUCAGGAGCUGUUCAGGCUUCUCCCAAGUGAACUCACGCUCUGUGUUGACCCCUGCGAAGUGUCCUACAGAAUUGGAGAGGAUGGCUCCAUCUGUGUGCUGUAUGAAGCCUCACCAGCAGGAGGUAGCACUCAAAACAGCACCAACGUGCAAAUGGUAGACAGCCGAAUCAGCUGUAAGGAGGAACUUCUCUUGGGCAGAAGGAGCCCUACCAAAAACUACAAUGUGAUGACUGUAUCAUGUUAAGAUAUAGUCUGUGGAUGGAUCAUCUUAUAAUGAUGGAUAAAUUUGAUUUUUGCUUUGGGUGGGCUCCUCUUGGGGAUGGAUUGUGGAAUUUAAACCAUGUCACAGCUAUGAAGAUCUGGCACAAGAUAGAGUGGUAAAAAAAAAAUUUUUUAAGUGACAGUGCCAUAGUUUGGACAGUACCUUUCAAUGAUUAAUUUUAAUAGCCUGUGAGUCCAAGUAAAUGAUCACUUUAUUUGCUAGGGAGGGAAGUCCUAGGGUGGUUUCAGUUUCUCCCAGACAUACCUGAAUUUUUACAUCAGUCCCUUUAAAGAAAAUCUGUAUUUCAAAGAACCUUUCUCUGCAGUAAAUCUCGCAGAGGAAUUUGCACUAUUACACUUAAAUUGUUACUGUUAACCUUUUUGGCAGCUCAAUAGGAAAGCUGAACGUUUUAAACAUGGUAGUACUGGAAAUUUUACGACAAGACUUUUACCUAGCACUUAAAUAUGUAUAAAUGUAUAUAAAAACAAACUAGUAAGCAUGACCUGGGGAAAUGGUCAGACCUUGUAUUGUGUUUUUGUCCUUGAAAGUAGCAAGUGACCAGAAUCUGCCAUGGCAACAGGCUUU